rnacentral:rRNA from 1 species
CAUUUAAAGAAAGCGUAAUAGCUCACUGGUCGAGUCGGCCUGCGCGGAAGAUGUAACGGGGCUAAACCAUGCACCGAAGCUGCGGCAGCGAACGUAUCACUUAAAGCGAUUCAGCGGGUUACGAUUGACGGAGCGAAGCGACGUCAAAGCGUAUACAAAGUCGAGUCGGUUUAAGGAUACGUUCGUUGGGUAGGGGAGCGUUCUGUAAGCCUGUGAAGGUGGCCUGUGAGGGUUGCUGGAGGUAUCAGAAGUGCGAAUGCUGACAUAAGUAACGAUAAAGCGGGUGAAAAGCCCGCUCGCCGGAAGACCAAGGGUUCCUGUCCAACGUUAAUCGGGGCAGGGUGAGUCGACCCCUAAGGCGAGGCCGAAAGGCGUAGUCGAUGGGAAACGGGUUAAUAUUCCCGUACUUGGUGUUACUGCGAAGGGGGGACGGAGAAGGCUAUGUUGGCCGGGCGACGGUUGUCCCGGUUUAAGCGUGUAGGUGUGUGUUCCAGGUAAAUCCGGUUCACUUUAACACUGAGGCGUGACGACGAGGCACUACGGUGCUGAAGCAACAAAUGCCCUGCUUCCAGGAAAAGCCUCUAAGCAUCAGGUAACAUCAAAUCGUACCCCAAACCGA